GUUUACUUCAUAUGACAGAUUAUGGCGUGACGGUGUAACCCCUGCUGACAGCAGUACGUGUAUCCAUCACUGAUAUGUCUUAAUUCACCUUUCCAAUCGAAUUGUGAUGUCUCGCCUCAAACCGCAAAUCAGCAUGUCAGCUAGUUGUGUCAGGAGUUUUAUUGUACACCUUAAACAAAAAAGAAGCCGACUUUGAAAAUAGGGAGAAUCUAAAAUAUUUAUUAAGCAGUGCAUUUUUCUUCCCCACGGACACUGAAGUUUUGUAAUUGAUUUUCAUUAUGUUGGAGGAAAACCUCUACACGUUAUGGUCCUGUUGCACGUGCCCCCCUGCUGAACUGAUUUAUGAGCUUGAUAAUCAGCAACUGAAGGUUUUGCUUUAAGACCUUUCAUACGUACAAAUAGGGCGCUGCAGUGACAUUAAGUAUAUAUAUAUAUGUGUGUGUGUGUGUGUGUGUGUGUGUGUGUGAGAGAGAAAGAGACUUUUCAAGAUUAGCAGUUAUAGGCACCCAUAUUAUUGUCGCUUGUUGUGUCAAAUGUAUUUUUAUGGGAAUUGUAAAUUCACACACACAAAAACAUCCACCCACGACCACGUGUGUGUACCGACUGUGCUCUUUAUUAAAUAAAUAAAUUAUUCCCUUCUCCAAAGAGAGCUUCUGGAAAUCCAUAAAACACAGGAGAGUAGUGAGUGCAUUGUUUAUGAUUUCUCCAAGGGCCCCUGAUUUACGCUCACCACAUUAAGCAGCACAUUGGGUUUAAUAUAAUUUACACACUUAGAAAUUCAUAAAACAAAUGUCUCACUUUGGUGGUAAAGCACUGGUUGCUAGUUGGCUAUAAAUAUUUUGCUUUGAUCGUGGCAAUUUAAGGACAUUACAUAUCCUGGUCACUGGCACGUAGUUUCCCCAUUUCUAACAUGAAUCCUAUUAUAAAAUGAUUAAAAAGGAAAUACAUUUUAAAAAGUAAUAAAUAAAUGGAGUUUGGGAUUUGUUGAAUCGGUGUAGGAAUGGGUUAAUUUUUAUUUACUUAUAGUUUCCAAAUAACCCAAAGCUGUCGAUGCCUCAGACAGAAGAGGGGGGCGUCUUACUGCUCUCUCGCUCUCUCUUAUUCUCUCUCGCUCGCUCGCUCUUUCUCUCUCGCUCCCUCUAAAACAAAGACGCUUUGUCAUAAACAGGGUUAUUUUACCAAAAGGAGUCAAGAGGGCAACAUAUGUGGUCUUAACAGGUCAGAGGUCAAACAUGCAUGAAACACAAGGUCAAGCAAGCCACACAAGUAACCUUGCAAUGUGUCAACAUAUUGAUACUGUCAGACAACGGAGAGGAGAAAUAUGCCUUUGGCAUCCAUUAUAACACACGGGCAGAGCGCCCCUUGCGCGAUCGGGAUUGUUGGGUUUAAUGUUAUAAACCUGUCAGAUGGCUUUUUCUUUUUUUUUUUUGUAUUUUUGUCAGCUGUAACUGUAGAUUGUGUGUGUAAUAUUUCACGUGAUUUAUUUGUUACGUGUGUGAGCAUAGUGAGUAUUGGUACUUCUAAAACCUGUUGAAAUACUAGUCUGUGGGGGAUUUUGAAUAGGUUGGAGGCUUUUUCUUUUCCAGGCAGAAGGGAAAACCCACAGCCUCUUGAUGAUUGAUUUUUUUUCUCAAAAUUUUCUUUCUCCUUUCCCCUAUCUGGGGAAGGUUUUUGUGUGUUUUUUUCUUCUUCAGAGAAAUAAAGAACUUCUUAUAGGGGUCGGCAGACGUGACUUUGAACUUGGAUCAGCUCCUGCGUUUCCUGUGGUGCGAGUUGAAAUAGACUUGGAAGAAUGGCAUACAACGCUCAGCCUGUCCC
ensembl:lncRNA